rnacentral:rRNA from 1 species
GGGUUGUGAGGUUAAGCGACUAAGCGUACACGGUGGAUGCCCUGGCAGUCAGAGGCGAUGAAGGACGUGCUAAUCUGCGAUAAGCGUCGGUAAGGUGAUAUGAACCGUUAUAACCGGCGAUUUCCGAAUGGGGAAACCCAGUGUGUUUCGACACACUAUCAUUAACUGAAUCCAUAGGUUAAUGAGGCGAACCGGGGGAACUGAAACAUCUAAGUACCCCGAGGAAAAGAAAUCAACCGAGAUUCCCCCAGUAGCGGCGAGCGAACGGGGAGGAGCCCAGAGCCUGAAUCAGUGUGUGUGUUAGUGGAAGCGUCUGGAAAGGCGCGCGAUACAGGGUGACAGCCCCGUACACAAAAAUGCACAUGCUGUGAGCUCGAUGAGUAGGGCGGGACACGUGGUAUCCUGUCUGAAUAUGGGGGGACCAUCCUCCAAGGCUAAAUACUCCUGACUGACCGAUAGUGAACCAGUACCGUGAGGGAAAGGCGAAAAGAACCCCGGCGAGGGGAGUGAAAAAGAACCUGAAACCGUGUACGUACAAGCAGUGGGAGCACAGAGCAAUCUGUGUGACUGCGUACCUUUUGUAUAAUGGGUCAGCGACUUAUAUUCUGUAGCAAGGUUAACCGAAUAGGGGAGCCGAAGGGAAACCGAGUCUUAACUGGGCGUUAAGUUGCAGGGUAUAGACCCGAAACCCGGUGAUCUAGCCAUGGGCAGGUUGAAGGUUGGGUAACACUAACUGGAGGACCGAACCGACUAAUGUUGAAAAAUUAGCGGAUGACUUGUGGCUGGGGGUGAAAGGCCAAUCAAACCGGGAGAUAGCUGGUUCUCCCCGAAAGCUAUUUAGGUAGCGCCUCGUGAAUUCAUCUCCGGGGGUAGAGCACUGUUUCGGCAAGGGGGUCAUCCCGACUUACCAACCCGAUGCAAACUGCGAAUACCGGAGAAUGUUAUCACGGGAGACACACGGCGGGUGCUAACGUCCGUCGUGAAGAGGGAAACAACCCAGACCGCCAGCUAAGGUCCCAAAGUCAUGGUUAAGUGGGAAACGAUGUGGGAAGGCCCAGACAGCCAGGAUGUUGGCUUAGAAGCAGCCAUCAUUUAAAGAAAGCGUAAUAGCUCACUGGUCGAGUCGGCCUGCGCGGAAGAUGUAACGGGGCUAAACCAUGCACCGAAGCUGCGGCAGCGACGCUGAUGCGUUGUUGGGUAGGGGAGCGUUCUGUAAGCCUGUGAAGGUGUGCUGUGAGGCAUGCUGGAGGUAUCAGAAGUGCGAAUGCUGACAUAAGUAACGAUAAAGCGGGUGAAAAGCCCGCUCGCCGGAAGACCAAGGGUUCCUGUCCAACGUUAAUCGGGGCAGGGUGAGUCGACCCCUAAGGCGAGGCCGAAAGGCGUAGUCGAUGGGAAACAGGUUAAUAUUCCUGUACUUGGUGUUACUGCGAAGGGGGGACGGAGAAGGCUAUGUUGGCCGGGCGACGGUUGUCCCGGUUUAAGCGUGUAGGCUGGUUUUCCAGGCAAAUCCGGAAAACUAAGGCUGAGGCGUGAUGACGAGGCACUACGGUGCUGAAGCAACAAAUGCCCUGCUUCCAGGAAAAGCCUCUAAGCAUCAGGUAACAUCAAAUCGUACCCCAAACCGACACAGGUGGUCAGGUAGAGAAUACCAAGGCGCUUGAGAGAACUCGGGUGAAGGAACUAGGCAAAAUGGUGCCGUAACUUCGGGAGAAGGCACGCUGAUAUGUAGGUGAAGUCCCUCGCGGAUGGAGCUGAAAUCAGUCGAAGAUACCAGCUGGCUGCAACUGUUUAUUAAAAACACAGCACUGUGCAAACACGAAAGUGGACGUAUACGGUGUGACGCCUGCCCGGUGCCGGAAGGUUAAUUGAUGGGGUCAGCGCAAGCGAAGCUCUUGAUCGAAGCCCCGGUAAACGGCGGCCGUAACUAUAACGGUCCUAAGGUAGCGAAAUUCCUUGUCGGGUAAGUUCCGACCUGCACGAAUGGCGUAAUGAUGGCCAGGCUGUCUCCACCCGAGACUCAGUGAAAUUGAACUCGCUGUGAAGAUGCAGUGUACCCGCGGCAAGACGGAAAGACCCCGUGAACCUUUACUAUAGCUUGACACUGAACAUUGAGCCUUGAUGUGUAGGAUAGGUGGGAGGCUUUGAAGUGUGGACGCCAGUCUGCAUGGAGCCGACCUUGAAAUACCACCCUUUAAUGUUUGAUGUUCUAACGUUGACCCGUAAUCCGGGUUGCGGACAGUGUCUGGUGGGUAGUUUGACUGGGGCGGUCUCCUCCUAAAGAGUAACGGAGGAGCACGAAGGUUGGCUAAUCCUGGUCGGACAUCAGGAGGUUAGUGCAAUGGCAUAAGCCAGCUUGACUGCGAGCGUGACGGCGCGAGCAGGUGCGAAAGCAGGUCAUAGUGAUCCGGUGGUUCUGAAUGGAAGGGCCAUCGCUCAACGGAUAAAAGGUACUCCGGGGAUAACAGGCUGAUACCGCCCAAGAGUUCAUAUCGACGGCGGUGUUUGGCACCUCGAUGUCGGCUCAUCACAUCCUGGGGCUGAAGUAGGUCCCAAGGGUAUGGCUGUUCGCCAUUUAAAGUGGUACGCGAGCUGGGUUUAGAACGUCGUGAGACAGUUCGGUCCCUAUCUGCCGUGGGCGCUGGAGAACUGAGGGGGGCUGCUCCUAGUACGAGAGGACCGGAGUGGACGCAUCACUGGUGUUCGGGUUGUCAUGCCAAUGGCACUGCCUGGUAGCUAAAUGCGGAAGAGAUAAGUGCUGAAAGCAUCUAAGCACGAAACUUGCCCCGAGAUGAGUUCUCCCUGACUCCUUGAGAGUCCUGAAGGAACGUUGAAGACGACGACGUUGAUAGGCCGGGUGUGUAAGCGCAGCGAUGCGUUGAGCUAACCGGUACUAAUGAACCGUGAGGCUUAACCUUACAACGCCGAAGCUGUU